rnacentral:rRNA from 1 species
CAGUAGCCGCGGGAAUACAGAGGGUGCGAGCGUUAAUCGGAUUUACUGGGCGUAAAGCGUGCGUAGGCGGCUUCUUAAGUCGGAUGUGAAAUCCCUGAGCUUAACUUAGGAAUUGCAUUCGAUACUGGGAAGCUAGAGUAUGGGAGAGGAUGGUAGAAUUCCUGGUGUAGCGGUGAAAUGCGUAGAGAUCUGGAGGAAUACCGAUGGCGAAGGCAGCCAUCUGGCCUAAUACUGACGCUGAGGUACGAAAGCAUGGGGAGCAAACAGGAUUAGAUACCCCAGUAGUCCCUGUCUCUUAUAA